GUAUGUUCGGCGUGUUUGUGUAGAAGAGACGCUAGGACUAUCAUGGGUGCCGGCUUUGCGAGACUCCAAGGGCCCCGAGGCUGGCAGCUCCCUCUGGGAAGAGGUUGGAAUCCAUCUGUGAAGUACUGCCUCCUCUUUUGCUGGCUGCACAGAGGUUCUGUUUAAUAGGCACCUUCAAAGCAUCUUACCUUCCUCAAUGGGCCCCGAGGGAAAAUGGAAGAAAACAAAAACCAAAACCAGAAAACCUUUCCGGGCCAGUGAGAUGGGAAGAUGGCACGACAAGUAAAAGCACUUGUAGCAAAAGCCUGGUGACCUGAAUUCAAUGCCCAGAACCCACAGUGGAAGGAGAACGCGCUACUGAAAACCAGCCUCUGCCUUCCUCACGCGUGCUACGGCAAGCAUGCACACGUAUGAGCACUCUCCCUCCCUCCCACCAUA